UAUAAAAAAUACUAACCGGUUAAAAUACGAUGGAUAUGGAGACAGAAAUAGAGAGGCAAUGAGACCUGGAGAAAGAAAUAGAGAAAGAGGCAGAGUUAGAGACAUCUCAGGCCAGUACCGCCGUCGGGCUCUGACCACCAAAAUUCUUGCUUCCGUACCGACGAUGCACUGUCACAGAACUUAGACCGCCGGAACUGCAAGCACACAGAAAGAAACCUAUAUGCCAUACAUUCGCCACCCAGAUCGUUGAAACCGGCUCCGAUAUUUUUUCUUUCCAUUUUUUAGAUUUGGGAUAGAGAGUCCGAUCAAGGAUAAAAAGAAAAGGAUAGAAACAAAGACCAACCACCCUCCUUCUAUACAAUUAGACCAUCGUAACCACAAGCACACAAAGAUCCACCCAGAUCUUCUGCCAUCGCCAUAAGCCUCUACUCACUACCCGACUGUCGGAAUCACUACUGAUUGGUAUUUUAGGUCAGAUUUGGUUUUGAUUAAGGGAUACGAAGAUAGAGGAACCAAGCAGAGUUCGUAGGCGACAAGAGAGAAGAAAUAUCGAAGGCCGGCCAUUGUGCAUUCCCUCGCCAGACUUGGGUCACUAGAACCGCAAGCACACAUGAAGGAAAAACUAUGGACCACCAACACUGUUAGGCCAUAUAUCUGCCACCCAGAUUGUCAGAAUCGGAACCAGUCUUUCUGCCAGAACAUCAUACACCCAGAUAAAGUCUGUAAGACACAGAGAGACAGACUGUAUACCUGUGAAGUUAUUGUUCCUAAUGUAUUAGGGCAUGACUAUGUCUGCGAUCUCCGACCCAACCUCAGUAUCAGACCAUUCUCUAUUGUGAAGGAAGCACCCUAGAAGUUCAAAUACUACCACCUGAGUUGUUAUUAGGGUAUGGGUACUGUAAAGUGUGGAGAGACAGAACAAAGGGCUGUCUCCACCAGCCUACAGCCACCGUUAGACAGUAGAAUAUUCUUUUCUGCGAUAAGAGUUCAUAACCAAAAUUGGUUUUUGUGGAAUUGCAUAAUCUGGUGUAUUCAGUAUUCUUUUCCAUUGCCAACAUUAAUGUUGAAGUAGUUCAAGAAACCAAAAGGCAAAGAAAAAUCUAUAGAGGGGACUUCAUAUGAAGUUGUUGAUUGCUCCCAUGGUAAGCAACUCUGGGAACUAUGUAAAGAGAAGUAUGAACCACUAUGGCUUAAAGGGGGAAACCACUGUGAUUUGGAGCUCCAAUUUAGCACAAGAUUCUUUCUUCAAUAUCUGUGCUUAAUUUUGGUAGAAUCUUACUUUAGCCACUUAUAGUAAAGAAUUAAGAAAUCAUUUUUGUAACUGGACAUGCAUUUGAAUAGAAACUAAAAGUGUUCAUGUAUAAUUUGGUUUAUAAGCAAUAUGUUGUGUGUAGUUUUUUGGUUGGUA